AGGAAAUCGAAGCUUUGAAAGUUUACCCCAUUAUUGUGACAGCGACACUGGCACCCUCCCGGCCACAGCACGAAGUUCUCCCUCGGAUUACGUUUCCCCAUCCUCCCAACAAUGAAAUCUUCCCGGCACCCUCCGUGAGAGAGCAGCAUGCUGGUGAUAGACCUCACAUCUGUGCAAGGCCCCGGAGGAGUCAGCUCAGACCACGUCAGCUCUCCCUGCAUGACUUCCAUGAGGACAGCAUGGCUGGCGGGUGGUCAAAAACCAGAAGCGAGGCCCAAACCCUGGAGACAAAGGCGGAACUGUCCGGUCCAAACCAACCAUAGCCACUGGGGAAUGAGAACAGCGUGCUUAUGUGGUAAGCCCUGCAGAGAGAUACUUUUCUAAUAUUUUCCAAGACCUCAGCUUUCUUUUCUUUUUUUCUAAUAAAAUCCUACGCGAGACAAUGUUACACGGCAGUUGCUUCACCAACGUUGCAUCACAUUCUCACUGGCAGUAUUAGCGUUUAACCAUCCUAGAAAACCAGGAUAUUUGUAUCCUGAAAACGCAAGUAAGUAAUUUCCUCUUUCAGUUCUAAGUGUUUCACUGGUACCUCCAGAAGCUUCUGUGAAAUCUGUUUUUUAAAGAACUGCAAUCAUUGGGAAUAUUUCUUGGUUAAGUAGCACGAAUGCAUUUAUCAGCGGCAUCCUUUUCUUGUUUCUGACAACGUAACUUUCCGUACGUUGGCGCACUCCCUAGCCUGACAACAGAUACCUCCUCCAGUUUGUAGGACACAGUCACACUUUGUUCCAGACUCCCUGGAAGGCACUGAGGAUCCGGCGGUGAUCAGCUCAGCCCUCGUGGACCUUAUGCUCUGCUGGAAGGAAGAGACGAACCCCAAGAAGCUGAGCCGCCGUGUCGACUCGUACUCGGCAGACCACCCUUGCUGCAUAAGGUACAACAUUUCAGCUGCAUAUCCACGUGCCCCAGAAACACAGUGGGAAACCUGAGCCAGCCUUCCUCGUGACUUCAGGCCUUGCCCCGACUCCAGUGGAGACAAGCCAAAAUGUUUCAGCUCCCAACCCAGGGCAGACCUCAAAUAUGACACGUGACUCAAAAGCAGUCGGUGAGAUAUGGCCCCUUCGGCGAGUGUCUGAUUGGUUCCAGAGGAAAGAGUUUAGACAGCCCGGCUCAGAGCACAUGUCUGGAGGGGAGUCCUCGGGGCCUGGGUUUCUGGCAGGCCUCCGGGCUCAGGGACUAGCAGGGCUCGCUACGUGCUCACACGUGAAGCGCUUGUGAGACACGCAGCCCGUGGAAGCCAGCGGGGCUGGUCCCACCUGCAAGCUGCUUACCUCACUCCACCACCCCCUGAGGGGGGGAGGCUGGAACAUGUUUCCAGGGAGUGGCAGCCUCUUAAGGCUAUAAUAAUGUCGAUCAACUCGAAUGGACUAAUAUCACAACACUGUGAUGGGGUCUUCAAGAAAAGAUACUAAAACGGUCGCGUUAUCGGGGAGCUGAGCACGCUAAAGUUGACCGUCUUACUCUGGGCCAAGCCAAGUGGUGAGUCAGUCAGGGACAAGGCUGACAUUUUCUUUUCAGCAAGUCAUAUUUCCUUCCAUUAAAAAAAGUAAUGGAGAAGCCAGACCCCAAACGACAAAUGCUGUAAGGUUCCACUUCUACGAGCUCCUGAGAGGAGUCAAAUUCAUAGAGACAGAAAGGAGACCGGUGGCUGCCAGAGGCUGGUGGGUGAGGGGUGGAAAUGGGGAGUUAGCGUUUCAUGGGGACAGACUUUCAGUUGGGAAGAUAAGAAAGUUCUGGAGACGGAUGGUAGUUGAUCGUUGCCCACGGUGGGAACGUCCUUAAUGCCACUUAAAAAAUGGUUAAAGUGGUAAAUUUGCGUUCUGUAUAUUUUAUCACAAUAAAAAAAGUUA